UACGGAGGAUCCGAGCGUUAUCCGGAUUUAUUGGGUUUAAAGGGAGCGUAGGUGGAUUGUUAAGUCAGUUGUGAAAGUUUGCGGCUCAACCGUAAAAUUGCAGUUGAAACUGGCAGUCUUGAGUACAGUAGAGGUGGGCGGAAUUCGUGGUGUAGCGGUGAAAUGCUUAGAUAUCACGAAGAACUCCGAUUGCGAAGGCAGCUCACUGGACUGCUACUGACACUGAGGCUCGAAAGUGUGGGUAUCAAACAGG
rnacentral:rRNA from 1 species